AGUGAACGCUGGCGGUAGGCCCAACACAUGCAAGUCGAACGGCAGCACAGUAAGAGCUUGCUCUUACGGGUGGCGAGUGGCGGACGGGUGAGGAAUACAUCGGAAUCUACUUUUUCGUGGGGGAUAACGUAGGGAAACUUACGCUAAUACCGCAUACGACCUACGGGUGAAAGCAGGGGAUCUUCGGACCUUGCGCGAUUGAAUGAGCCGAUGUCGGAUUAGCUAGUUGGCGGGGUAAAGGCCCACCAAGGCGACGAUCCGUAGCUGGUCUGAGAGGAUGAUCAGCCACACUGGAACUGAGACACGGUCCAGACUCCUACGGGAGGCAGCAGUGGGGAAUAUUGGACAAUGGGCGCAAGCCUGAUCCAGCCAUACCGCGUGGGUGAAGAAGGCCUUCGGGUUGUAAAGCCCUUUUGUUGGGAAAGAAAAGCAGCAGGUUAACACCCCGCUGUUCUGACGGUACCCAAAGAAUAAGCACCGGCUAACUUCGUG
rnacentral:rRNA from 1 species